AAAGCUUUAAGUUAAAUCUAAACUAUUAACCUUCAAAGUUAAAUAUAUAUAUUAUAUAAGCUUUA
rnacentral:tRNA from 1 species